rnacentral:rRNA from 1 species
CCUACGGGUGGCAGCAGUAGGGAAUAUUGCUCAAUGGGGGAAACCCUGAAGCAGCAACGCCGCGUGGAGGAUGAAGGUUUUCGGAUUGUAAACUCCUUUUGUUAGAGAAGAUAAUGACGGUAUCUAACGAAUAAGCACCGGCUAACUCCGUGCCAGCAGCCGCGGUAAUACGGAGGGUGCAAGCGUUACUCGGAAUCACUGGGCGUAAAGAGCGCGUAGGCGGGAUAGCAAGUCAGAUGUGAAAUCCUAUGGCUUAACCAUAGAACUGCAUUUGAAACUGUUAUUCUAGAGUAUGGGAGAGGUAGGUGGAAUUCUUGGUGUAGGGGUAAAAUGCGUAGAUAUCAGGAGGAACACCGGUGGCGAAGGCGGCCUGCUGGACUGCGACUGACGUUGAGGCCCGAAAGCGUGGGGAGCAAACAGGAUUAGAUACCCUAGUAGUC